AGUGAACGCUGGCGACGUGCUUAACACAUGCAAGUCGAACGAGUAAGUGCUGUAGUAAUACAGAUUACUGCUAGUGGCAGACGGGUGAGUAAUAUAUGGGAAUCUGCCUUGGAGUCUGGGAUAACAGUUGGAACGACUGCUAAUACCGGAUAUUGCCGAGAGGUGAAAGAAUUUCGCUCCAAGAUGAGCCCAUAUGAGAUUAGCUAGUUGGUAGGGUAAUGGCCUACCAAGGCAACGAUCUCUAGUUGGUCUAAGAGGACGAACAGCCACACUGGAACUGAGGCACGGUCCAGAAUCCUACGGGAGGCAGCAGUGGGGAAUAUUGGACAAUGGGCGCAAGCCUGAUCCAGCGACGUCGCGUGGGUGAUGAAGGCCUUCGGGUUGUAAAGCCCUUUCGGCAGGGAAGAUUAUGACGGUACCUGCAUAAGAAGCUCCGGCUAACUUCGUGCCAGCAGCCGCCGUAA
rnacentral:rRNA from 1 species